AUCCAUUCAAUAUCUGGGUGUACAGUAUAUACAGUAUCAUGUGUUAUUACAUGAAAAGCAGUGACUGUUUUAUUACAUGUUCUGUUAUUAUCUCCAUUAUUGAGAUGAUAUUAAUACAGUAUUGUGUAUUUUACACUGUCUGCAAUGUUUACAGGAACUAUCUGUAUAUUAUACUAAUGUGACUUUAUGGUAUGUAAUCUAGGCUAAAAUGUUUUAUUUAUUUAUUAUCAAGUGAAUAUUUAAGUCUGAAUUUCACAUGUGUUCAUUGCUGAUGUCAAU